CUUGAAAAAGACAUUAUAGGUUCUGUAUCACUGUAUGCUUCUGCUGUCCACAUUGUACUGUUUCAGAAAUAAACUGAACUGUAUUCCAAAACAUUCAGAAAAUAGCUUGGCUUAUUUUGCAAGCCCAUGUGUAAUCCACCCCAAAUCUUCCCUCUUUCCUUUCAGGAAAAACAAACAAACAAACCUCUAUUCAGCCAGGCAGCCAUGAUAGCAGCAACCCACCCUCUUCUAGAGGGAGAAAGAAGCCUGAUGAACUUGUCCAAGAGAGCUUUAAACUAAAUCCUGUGGGAGAUGAAGACAAGUGUGCAAAGCUGCUGACAUCCUGACUAAUGAAGCAUCUGUAAAACAGGAUGCACCAGCAAUGCUUCUAUAGAG